CUCGUGGGCGGUUCGUCGCGUCCGGUGUGAAAGUCCAUCGCUUAACGGUGGAUCUGCGCCGGGUACGGGCGGGCUGGAGUGCGGUAGGGGAGACUGGAAUUCCCGGUGUAACGGUGGAAUGUGUAGAUAUCGGGAAGAACACCAAUGGCGAAGGCAGGUCUCUGGGCCGUUACUGACGCUGAGGAGCGAAAGCGUGGGGAGCGAACA
rnacentral:rRNA from 1 species